rnacentral:rRNA from 1 species
AGAGUUUGAUCCUGGCUCAGGAUGAACGCUAGCGGUGUACCUAAAACAUGCAAGUCGUACGCUUGUAAAAGCGUGGCGGACGGGUGAGUAACGCGUAGGAAUCUGCCUCAAUCCGGGAAAUACCUAGCCGAAAGGUUGGUUAAUGUCCCAUGUGCUCGCAAGAGUAAAGCUCCGGCGGAUUGAGAGGAGCCUGCGUCCUAUCAGCUUGUUGGUGAGGUAAAAGCUUACCAAGGCUAUGACGGGUAGCUGGUCUGAGAGGAUGAUCAGCCACAAUGGCACUGAGACACGGGCCAUACACCUACGGGUGGCAGCAGUUAGGAAUCGUACACAAUGGGGGAAACCCUGAUGUCGUGACACCGCGUGAAGGAUGAAGGUUUUCGGAUCGUAAACUUCUUUUCUAAAGGACGAUUAUGACUUUACUUUAGGAAUAAGCAUCGGCUAACUACGUGCCAGAAGCCUCGGUAAUACGUAGGAUGCGAGCGUUAUCCGGAUUUAUUGGGCGUAAAGAACAUGUAGGCGGUUUUGUAAGUCUAAUCUUAAAUCCCACGGCCCAACCGUGGAACUGGAUUGGAUGCUGCAUGACUUGAACACUUGCAGGGGUAUGCGGAAUCUACGGUGUAGGGGUAAAAUCCAUUGAUAUCGUAGAGAACACCAAUGGCGAAGGCAGCAUACUAGGCAGUCGUUGACGCUGAGAUGUGAAAGCGUGGGGAGCGAACGGGAUUAGAUACCCCGGUAGUCCACGCCGUAAACUAUGCAAACUAGCUAUUGAGAUUUUCGACCGUCGCAGUAGCGAAGCUAACGCGUUAAGUUUGCCGCCUGGGGAGUACGAACGCAAGUUUAAAACUCAAAGGAAUUGGCGGGGGCUCGCACAAGUGGUGGAACAUGGGGUUUAAUUCGACACUAAGCGGAAAACCUCACCAAGGUUUGACAUCUAUGGAAUCCUGCAGAAACGUAGGAGUGCCCGCAAGGGAGCCGUAAGACAGGUGCUGCACGGUCGUCGUCAGCUCGUGGCAUGAGUUGUUCCGUUAAGUCGGGAAACGAGCGCAACCCUUAUCAUGUGUUAAAUUUCUCACAUGAGACUGCCUCCGUAAGGGGGAGGAAGGUGGGGAUGACGUCAGAUCAGCGUGGCCUUUAUACCUUGGGCAACACCCGUGUUACAAUGGCUGUUACAGAGGGUUGCAAUAUCGCGAGAUGGAGCUAAUCCCUAAAAACAGUCCCAGUUCGGAUUGCAGUCUGAAACUCGACUGCAUGAAGCCGGAAUCACUAGUAACCGUGGAUCAGAUACGCCACGGUGAAUGCGUUCUCGAGCCUUGCACACACCGCCCGUCAAGGCAGGAAAGCCGGUAACGCCCGAAUCCCGACGUACGUCGGGACACGGUGGGAUCGGUGAUCAGGCCUAAGUCGUAACAAGGUAACC